AUAAACAAAAAGUCUUUUUCUUCGAUCUCUGAACAGCCAUGGCCUUAUGUCUUCUCUUCAGAUAAACGAAACGUUUCUCCUAAUUGAUUCAUCCCUUUAUCAUGCUUCUCAACAACAUCACCCCUCUUCGAACACGAUCUGUUUAGAGAAAGCUAAGAUAUCAGCAUGAUGCCAAUACCUUGGAGGCUUGGAGCGAUGGUGAUCUUCCUGCCUAAACCAAUCUGCUUUCUCUGCGUUCCCAUCCCUGCUUUCGCUGGUAACUUGCUUAGCCUUAGGAAAUAGUGCGUGCUCUGAGGUCCCAGAAGAGUCCACUACAACCAACCUUAAUCGGUCUCCUCUGAUAACUGAUUUCCUGAGAAAGUUUUGCCCAGCUGAGUUUGAUUGUCUUAAUGGAGACUGAAAUGAUGGAGGUUUGACGCAGUACGCGUACUUCAUGGAAGACUCGCCAUAAAGAAUAAGGGGAUGGAUCACAGAAACCAGGCCUGCUAAAAUCAAAGCUAAGUUAAAAUCAAGAAACAUAUUUUAGCUCCAGGCUCUUUGCUUUGUUUUACUUCAUUUUCUACUAUUUCUAAUUAUCGUUUCUGAGUAUGCAGGCAGGAUAACACGCUAGAUUGAGAUGCUUCUGUAAACAAGUUUUACAUACAAUAACUUUAAAGUUCUACAAGGCUAUGUCUUGACUGAGCCGGCGGCUAUAGUUGCUUCUAUUUUUGCUGAAGAAGAGACUGGUUUGUUUUCUCCAGAUGUGGAGGCUAAGAUUGUGGAUCCGGAUGUGGGUCGUGUCUUGGGGGUUGAUCAGACUGGCAUGGCGAGCUCUGGUUCCAGAGUCCUACCGUGAUGAACGGUGUUUGUUUCUUCUUGAAAAGGUUAUUUCAAGAACGAAGAAGCUACUGCUUUUACUAUUGAUUCAGAAGGAAGGUUGAGACUGGAGUUUUGUGUUACAUUGACAGUGAAGGUUUUGUCUUUGUUGUUGAUAGAUUAAAGGAGCUAAUCUACUGCAAUGCUUUUUAUCUACUGCAAUGCUUAUCAGAACUUAUAAAUUUGAUUAGGUUAGAAGCAGUGUUGUUAACUCAUCCAGAGAUUACUGAUGCAGCAGUAAUACCGUCAGGGCUUGCUUUAAAACUUGCUUUAUUCCUUAUUGUUUUUGAAGUAUCCCUGCAAUAAAGCUGGGCAAUAUCCAAUGGAAUAUAGUGAGGACAGCUGGAAACAACUUAUCCGAAAGUGGAAUCAUGAGCUUAGUCGCAAAGCAAGUUUUUUCAACCAUGCAGACCAUGUUUGUAACUAAUCCAGUCGUGGUUCCUUAUAUUUAUUCUGAGUUUUGUUUGGAUUGCUUAGGUAUCUCCAUAGAAGAGGAUACGUAAGGUCACAUUUUUGUCUUCAAACCCCAAAAAUCCCUCUGGCAAAAUUAUAAGAAAAGAACUUAUAAAGCUCACAACCUCAAAGCUCUAGCAGGAAGAUGUGUCCACCAGCUUUACCUCACACUUCACCAUUAGUUAAUUCAUUUAUUUGGUUUAUUUUAAAACUAAUAUAAAAAUAAUUUU